rnacentral:rRNA from 1 species
UACGGAGGGGGUUAGCGUUGUUCGGAAUUACUGGGCGUAAAGCGCGCGUAGGCGGACCAGAAAGUUGGGGGUGAAAUCCCGGGGCUCAACCCCGGAACGGCCUCCAAAACUCCUGGUCUUGAGUUCGAGAGAGGUGAGUGGAGUUCCGAGUGUAGAGGUGAAAUUCGUAGAUAUUCGGAGGAACACCAGUGGCGAAGGCGGCUCACUGGCUCGAUACUGACGCUGAGGUGCGAAAGUGUGGGGAGCAAACAGG